AGAGAGAGAGAGAAUAAAACAGAGCUAUAUGGCUGGUACCUUGGCCAAACUCCCAGAAUUACUUCCAAAGCUAAACCUAUUGCACUGGAGGAAGAGAUGGAGACAUGGAUUUAACUUGGUAACUUCCACUCACCCUAGACAAAUUGCUCCUGUGCUUCACUAACCCAAAAUUAUAUCCUAUAUGCUUUUUUCUUUUUUCUCAUUCAAGGAACCAGGCAUCUAGUUCUUCCUUGCAAGGAUUGAGAUCCCUUUUAUCUCUCAUUUUCAGCAUUUUUUGUGAACAGGGAGUGUAUAGCUCUCUUUUAGCUUGAUGAUGGAGAAGGUGGCCACUUUCUCACUCCAUGACCCCCGACCAACUUUACUUCACUAGAAAGCCUUCUGAGGUGACAGAGGCACUUAAGGAACAGUUGGUUGGCCUCCUUUUCAGAUUACUGAAAAAAUUACAACACUAGAAAUGCGGAGCAGCAAUUAUAAACAGAAGCAGGAGGUUGCCAUGUGAGGCAAGCAAGAAUGAACAGGACCAUCAUUUAUUAGAUUCUUGCCUUGCAUCUGGAGCAUGUGGCACUGAGCUGGCCAUCCAUCAUAUGGGCCUCAAAAUGUACCUGAAAACCCAAGAUGGACCACAAGCAGUCACCCUCUGUGCUUGCUUUGGAUCUUUUUUUUCCAUUUAACCAGUAUUAGUCAAGAAAUUAUGGGGUUAGACAUGGUGUGGUUAUUUUAGUAUGUAG
rnacentral:lncRNA from 1 species